rnacentral:tRNA from 1 species
GGGAUUAUGGCUCAGUGGUAGAGCACCUGCCUAGCAUUAUGAGGCACUGGGUUUGAUUCUCAGUACCCG